GGGAGAGCAGUUCCAGUUCUUCGAAAAAAAGAUGGGUUGAAACCCAACUUCAAAUCCCGCCCACUGCGAGAUACGGUGGUUAAAACAUAUUCCACAAACUGAGUAUCAGAUAGUAUUUUCUUUCCUGGUCUUUAACAACUAUACUUGGCGUCGGAAAGGGGGGAAAAGAAAAUAAUUUCUCAUUGACAUCAAGAUGUAAUUCCGACGAGAUAUUGUAUCCGGUUCUUCAGUAGGAGGAACGUAUCUGUGCUUAACGAACUUCACUCUGCGGUGUCGGAAUUCUGCUUCGUUACAGUAGAAGUUGGGAGAAGAAGAAAAGUGUUCAACUUUCUGUAACUCAUUGAGAUUACAAUGUGGUGUGAUUCUUCUGCGUUGCAGUGCAGAUUGCAGAAUGGCUUUUGCUUAAUUAUGCAUCUUGUUAUAUUAACGGUAGUACUUCGCCGUUCCGUAAAACGAAAUUCCUCUUUCUAAGAUACUGCUGUGAAAAGUCAAACAACCAAGUUAGGGGAAUCUCAUUCAUUUCAAGAAUUUUAUUUGUCUUAAUUAGAUUAAAAUGGACUAAAUUUUGCAA